GAUGAACGCUGGCGGCGUGCCUAAUACAUGCAAGUCGAGCGAACAGACGAGGAGCUUGCUCCUCUGACGUGAGCGGCGGACGGGUGAGUAACACGUGGAUAACCUACCUAUAAGACUGGGAUAACUUCGGGAAACCGGAGCUAAUACCGGAUAAGAUAUUGAACCGCAUGGUUCAAUAGUGAAAGACGGUUUUGCUGUCACUUAUAGAUGGAUCCGCGCCGCAUUAGCUAGUUGGUAAGGUAACGGCUUACCAAGGCAACGAUGCGUAGCCGACCUGAGAGGGUGAUCGGCCACACUGGAACUGAGACACGGUCCAGACUCCUACGGGAGGCAGCAGUAGGGAAUCUUCCGCAAUGGGCGAAAGCUUGACGGAGCAACGCCGCGUGAGUGAUGAAGGUCUUCGGAUCGUAAAACUCUGUUAUUAGGGAAGAACAAAUGUGUAAGUAACUAUGCACGUCUUGACGGUACCUAAUCAGAAAGCCACGGCUAACUACGUG
rnacentral:rRNA from 1 species